UCGGUGUGACCCACAGCUGUGGCACAGGAUGUAAGCCCUUGACUGCACAGAGUGUGGAAGCUAGUCUCUGUCCCCAGACGAAUCCCGAGGAGAAACUGAAAUGGCACACUGUAGGAUGUGUCUGAAGAAACCAGCACGGGAACUGCAGAAGGGAGAUCCCAAGUGA